AACGAACGCUGGCGGCAUGCUUAACACAUGCAAGUCGAACGAGACCUUCGGGUUUAGUGGCGCACGGGUGCGUAACGCGUGGGAACUUGCCCUUAGGUUCGGAAUAAUUCACUGAAAGGGGUGCUAAUAACGGAUAAUGUAAUCGGACCAAAGAUGUAUGGCCUUUGGAUGGGCCCGCGUUGGAUUAGCCAGUUGGUAGGGUAAAAGCCUCUCAAGGCGACGAUCCAUGGCUGGUCUGAGAGGAUGAUCAGCCGCAAUGGGACUGAGACACGGACCAGACUGCUACGGAGGGCAGCGGUAGAGAGUAUUAGGCAAUGAGCGAAAGCCUAGUCCAGCAAUGCCGCGUGAGUGAUGAAGGCCUUAGGAUUGUGAAUCUCUUUGACCCGAAAUGAGAAUGACAGUACCGGGAGAAUAAGCUCCGGCUAACUCCGUG
rnacentral:rRNA from 1 species